GGGGCCUUAGCUCACUGGGAAACGCGCCUGCUUUGCACGCAGGAGGUCAGCGGUUCGAUCCCGCUAGGCUCCA
rnacentral:tRNA from 1 species